rnacentral:rRNA from 1 species
GACGAACGCUGGCGGCGUGCUUAACACAUGCAAGUCGAACGGAAAGGCCCUGCUUUUGUGGGGUGCUCGAGUGGCGAACGGGUGAGUAACACGUGAGUAACCUGCCCUUGACUUUGGGAUAACUUCAGGAAACUGGGGCUAAUACCGGAUAGGAGCUCCUGCUGCAUGGUGGGGGUUGGAAAGUUUCGGCGGUUGGGGAUGGACUCGCGGCUUAUCAGCUUGUUGGUGGGGUAGUGGCUUACCAAGGCUUUGACGGGUAGCCGGCCUGAGAGGGUGACCGGCAACAUUGGGCCUGAGAUACGGCCCAGACUCCUACGGGAGGCAGCAGGGGGGAAUAUUGCACAAUGGGCGGAAGCCUAAUGCAGCAACGCCGCGUGCGGGAUGACGGCCUUCGGGUUGUAAACCGCUUUCGCCUGUGACGAAGCGUGAGUGACGGUAAUGGGUAAAGAAGCACCGGCUAACUACGUG